rnacentral:tRNA from 1 species
AAAGGGAGACCUAAUUCGGGUAUAAGACGAAAAAAAAGUAGUCCCUACCAAGAAUCAAUCCCAAAAGGUCGGAACGAGGUAUGAGGCUUUCAAACUAGGUUCUGGGUUCAUAAAAGACCUGAAUCAGGAACAAGGGCUAUUAGCUCAGGUGGUUAGAGCGCACCCCUGAUAAGGGUGAGGUCCCUGGUUCGAGUCCAGGAUGGCCCACCUGCACAGGUGGCAAAAACAAGAGAAGCGAGGAAUCAGCACCUUAUCUUAUAUACAUAUAUAAGAGAGAAUGCUGGCUCUGAGUACAGAGUCCAGAGGAACCUUGAAAACUGCAUAGAGCUAGGUGAAAAAGCCAAAAAAGGAGACCGCAAG